rnacentral:rRNA from 1 species
UACGUAGGGUGCAAGCGUUGUCCGGAAUUAUUGGGCGUAAAGAGCUCGUAGGCGGUCUGUCGCGUCUGCUGUGAAAACUCAGGGCUUAACCCUGAGCUUGCAGUGGGUACGGGCAGACUAGAGUGCGGUAGGGGAGACUGGAAUUCCGUGGUGUAGCGGUGAAAUGCGCAGAGUAUCAGGAGGAACACCGGUGGCGAAGGCGGGUCUCUGGGCCGUAACUGGACGCUGGAGGAGCGAAAGCAUGGGGAGCGAACAGG